GCCUGGGUGACUCAGUUGGUUGAGCGUCAGACUUCGGCUCAGGUCAUGAUCUGGCCGCUUGUGGGUUCGAGUCCCGCCUCGGGCU
rnacentral:tRNA from 1 species